rnacentral:rRNA from 1 species
AGUGAACGCUGGCGGUAGGCCUAACACAUGCAAGUCGAACGGCAGCACAGUAAGAGCUUGCUCUUACGGGUGGCGAGUGGCGGACGGGUGAGGAAUACAUCGGAAUCUACUUUUUCGUGGGGGAUAACGUAGGGAAACUUACGCUAAUACCGCAUACGACCUACGGGUGAAAGCAGGGGAUCUUCGGACCUUGCGCGAUUGAAUGAGCCGAUGUCGGAUUAGCUAGUUGGCGGGGUAAAGGCCCACCAAGGCGACGAUCCGUAGCUGGUCUGAGAGGAUGAUCAGCCACACUGGAACUGAGACACGGUCCAGACUACUAAGGGAGGCAGCAGUGGGGAAUAGUGGACAAUGGGCGCAAGCAUGAUACAGCCAUACCGCGUGGGUGAAGAAGGCCUUCGGGUUGUAAAGACCUUUUGUUGGGAAAGAAAAGCAGCAGGUUAAUACCCCGCUGUUCUGACGGUAACCAAAGAAUAAGCACCGGCUAACUUCGUG